UGACAGAGUUAGGGAGGGAGUGACUAGUGACAGAGAGAGGGAUGGGGUGACUAGUGACAGUCACCCCCCCCUCACUCUGUCACCAGUCAUCCCCUCUCUCUGUCACUAGUCACCCCUUCCCUCCCUCACUUU
rnacentral:miRNA from 1 species